GAUGAAGAACGCAGCGAAAUGCGAUAAGUAAUGUGAAUUGCAGAAUUCAGUGAAUCAUCGAAUCUUUGAACGCACAUUGCGCCCUCUGGUAUUCCGGGGGGCAUGCCUGUUCGAGCGUCAUUAUAACCACUCAAGCUCUCGCUUGGUAUUGGGGCUCGCGGUUCCGCGGCCCCUAAAAUCAGUGGCGGUGCCUGUCGGCUCUACGCGCAGUAAUACUCCUCGCGAUUGAGUCCGGUAGGUCUACUUGCCAGCAACCCCCAAUUUUUACAGGUUGACCUCGGAUCAGGUAGGGAUACCCGCUGAACUUAAGCAUAUCAAUAAGCGGAGGA
rnacentral:misc_RNA from 1 species